rnacentral:lncRNA from 1 species
UGCCUAUAACCCCAGCACUUUGGGAGGCUGAGGCGGGUGGAUCACCUGAGGUCAGGAGUUCGAGACCAGCCUGGCCAACAUAGUAAAACCCCAUCUCUACUAAAAAUACAAAAAACUAGUCGGGAGUAGUGUGACGCACGCCUGUAGUCCAAGCCACUUGGGAGUCGGAGGUUGCAGUGAGCCGAGAUCACACCAUUGCACUCCAGCCUGGACAACAAGAGUGAAACUCUGUCUCAAAAAAAAAAAAAAAAAUCUUGACAAAGUGCAGAUCUGCAAAAUUCAUCCCAGAAAAAGUGGACUUGAUAGAAGAUAGAGAUGUAUUUUAUGCACUGAAUGUAGCAUAC